GAAAAAAGGAAGCCUGCUACUGCCUCAGGUUGCCGUAAACAGCCCACCCACCGCCCAGAGUCACGGCUGCAUCGACUGAUGUAGGGCCAGGAGGAAGGGGGCGGACGCCUGCCGGAACCAUCAGCCUUUUUGGAAAAGGCAGUGGAGAAAGGAGGUCACGCUCCCUGGAUUUCCAGCCUAGAGCCUCCGCCGGAUGGGUGACCCC